rfam:Triticum urartu cultivar G1812 contig1191885, whole genome shotgun sequence.
AAAAUACUCCCUCCGUCCGGAAAUACUUGUCAUCAAAAUGAAUAAAAGGGGAUGUAUCUAAAUGUAUUUUAGUUCUAGAUACAUUCUUUUUUUCCAUUUUAAUGACAAGUAUUUGCGGACGGAGGGUGUAGAUA